rnacentral:rRNA from 1 species
AGACCCGAAACCCGGUGAUCUAGCCAUGGGCAGGUUGAAGGUUGGGUAACACUAACUGGAGGACCGAACCGACUAAUGUUGAAAAAUUAGCGGAUGACCUGUGGCUGGGGGUGAAAGGCCAAUCAAACCGGGAGAUAGCUGGUUCUCCCCGAAAGCUAUUUAGGUAGCGCCUCGUGAAUUCAUCUCCGGGGGUAGAGCACUGUUUCGGCUAGGGGGCCAUCCCGGCUUACCAACCCGAUGCAAACUGCGAAUACCGGAGAAUGUUAUCACGGGAGACACACGGCGGGUGCUAACGUCCGUCGUGAAGAGGGAAACAACCCAGACCGCCAGCUAAGGUCCCAAAGUCAUGGUUAAGUGGGAAACGAUGUGGGAAGGCCCAGACAGCCAGGAUGUUGGCUUAGAAGCAGCCAUCAUUUAAAGAAAGCGUAAUAGCUCACUGGUCGAGUCGGCCUGCGCGGAAGAUGUAACGGGGCUAAACCAUGCACCGAAGCUGCGGCAGCGACGCUGAUGCGUUGUUGGGUAGGGGAGCGUUCUGUAAGCCUGUGAAGGUGGCCUGUGAGGGUUGCUGGAGGUAUCAGAAGUGCGAAUGCUGACAUAAGUAACGAUAAAGCGGGUGAAAAGCCCGCUCGCCGGAAGACCAAGGGUUCCUGUCCAACGUUAAUCGGGGCAGGGUGAGUCGACCCCUAAGGCGAGGCCGAAAGGCGUAGUCGAUGGGAAACGGGUUAAUAUUCCCGUACUUGGUGUUACUGCGAAGGGGGGACGGAGAAGGCUAUGUUGGCCGGGCGACGGUUGUCCCGGUUUAAGCGUGUAGGUGUGUGUUCCAGGUAAAUCCGGUUCACUUUAACACUGAGGCGUGAUGACGAGGCACUACGGUGCUGAAGCAAC